rnacentral:rRNA from 1 species
UAUUUAGUUAAUUCUAUUAGUAGUUAUAUACUUAUCUUAAAGAUUAAAUUAUAUAUAUCUAAGUAUAAGUAAUUAUAUAGUAAAACUAUAAAUAGCUUAUUAUAUAAGUUAUUAUUUAUUUAAUAGUAUUUUACUAUUUAGAUAACUAUAGUAAUUCUAGAGUUAAUAUAUAUUAAAAAUCCCAACUUUAGAAGGGAUAUAUUUAUUAGAUUAAAAACUAAUACUUUUCAGGGUUUACUAGUGAUUUAUAAAGAUUUUUUGAAUUAUAUAGCUUUAUACUAGUAAUAGUUUAUUUAAAUUUCUUCCUUAUUAAUUUUUAAUACUAGAAUAGUAUUUUAGUAUAAUUAUAAUAAGUAAUAGAAAGUUAGGGCUUAACUCUAAUAAAAAAACUUAAGAAAUAGUUAUUAUAUCUAAAGAAAGUAGUAAGUAUAUAAAUUACUUAAUCUUAAUAUAAAGAAGUAGUAAUAAUAAAUACUAAUAUAAGGCUUUUUUAAAUUUUAUAAUUAGAAUAAAUAUAAUUUAAAUUUCUUAAUAAAGAAUAAUUAGAAAGUAAGUUUAAUACUAAUAGUUAUAGUAAUUCUAAUUCUAAUAGUAUAUAUUAAAAUUAUUAUAAUUAAAAAGCUUGUAGUAGAACCUUAGGCUUAAUUAGUUAGUCCACCUUACUAUAUAUAUUAAUCUAACUAAGUUUUUCUUUUUAUAAAACUAUAUACUUUUUACUAAAUAUACUAAAGAAACAGGAUUUUUAUUUUGAAAAAAAUUAGAAUACUCUAAGUAGGCUUAUAUUUAAAUAUUUUAAUAUAGAAUAAUAGAAUAAGAUAUAUAGUUUUAUUUGAUUAAUUUCUAGAACUACUAUAAUAAUUAAUAAGGAUAGUUAGAAGUAUUAGUAUUUAAUUAUUAGAAGUAAAGUUCUUAGAUUUAUUAAAAACUAAUUACUAUAAAAGUAUUUACUAAAGAUAUUUUUAUUUAUUAAGAAUAACAAUUAGGAAAUUAAAGAUAAUUAAAUAUUAUCAUAAUCUUAACUAUAAAUCAUACCGACUAGGGAUUAGAUCAUGUUUUUCUUUUAACUUGUUUAGUAUUUUAUAAGAAAUUAAAGUAUUUAGGUUUUAAAGGGAGUAUAAUUAUAAGGUUCAAAUUUAAAGAAAUUAAUAAAAAAUACUACUAGGAGUAAAACUUAUAGCUUAAGUUAACUUAAUAUAAAGAAACUUAUUAAGUCUAAAUAUAAUAAGGAUUAAUAGAUUAAGAGCUUUUUUUUUUAUUUUAUAAGUAGUAGUAUAUAGUUAUUCUUAGUUAUCAAAAUAAUUGUUCUAUCUAAUUAUAACAAUAAAUAAGAUUUUAACUUACUAAAUAACCUAUAUUAUUUUAGUAAUAUACUAGCUUCUUAAAAGGACUAUUAGUUCAAGUUAAUAGAAGUUUGAAGUAAUAAUAAGUUAAUUUUUAUAAGCUUAUAAUAGUAAGUCUUAUUAAAAAUAACUAUUAGUUUAAUAAUUCUAAUUCUAUAGGGGAAAUCCCUAACUAUUAAGUAGAGAAAUACUUCUUAAAAUACUUAUUAUAAAUAAUACUACUUAAUAUAGGGAAUAUCUAAUUAUUUCUAAGUAGUAGCUAAUUUUAUAGUCGACUUAAGUAAUACUAAGUUGUUAUAAUGAAUAUAAAGAAGUAGACUUAAAAAAACUUAAAAUAUAUACUAAUUUUAAAUAAAAACCUAAUUUUUUAAGAAAGCUUAAUAGGCUAAUAUAAGGGGGACUUAUCUAACUAUAAGUUAGUAUUUAAAUAUUAUAAUACUUUUAGAUAUUUUAAACUAUAUAUAUAUUAUACUAAUAAAGCUAGUGAGUAUUUCUCUUACUAGAAAGCCUAAGUAAUCUUAUUAAACUCUAUUAUACUAAAGAUAGAAUAUUAUAAUUAUUAUUUUUUCAGAAGGAACUCUUAGUAAGUAUAAGUUAUUAACUUAUAUUAAUUAUAUCCCUAUUUUUCAUAUAUACUACUUAUUACUACUACUAAUUAAAGAGUUUGAUAAGGUUUUUAGAUUAAUUUAGAGAAGUAAGUAACUACUAUUUAAAACUAGAAAGUUAUUUAAAUUUAGUUAUUUAGAAGAAGUAAAAGUUAUAAUAAAAUUUCUAUUAGUAAAUUAGGAGAAGGAUUAUUA